rnacentral:misc_RNA from 1 species
UACGUAGGGUACAAGCGUUGUCCGGAAUUAUUGGGCGUAAAGGGCUCGUAGGCGGUUCGGUAAGUCAGAUGUGAAAACUCAGGGCUCAACCCUGAGACGCCAUCUGAUACUGCUGUGACUUGAGUUCGGUAGAGGAGUGUGGAAUUCCUGGUGUAGCGGUGAAAUGCGCAGAUAUCAGGAGGAACACCUACGGCGAAGGCAGCACUCUGGGCCGAAACUGACGCUGAGGAGCGAAAGCGUGGGGAGCAAACAGG